rnacentral:rRNA from 1 species
UGGGGAAUUUUGGACAAUGGGCGAAAGCCUGAUCCAGCAAGGCCGCGUGAGUGAAGAAGGCCUUCGGGUUGUAAAGCUCUUUUGUCAGGGAAGAAACGGUGAAAGCUAAUAUCUUUUGCUAAUGACGGUACCUGAAGAAUAAGCACCGGCUAACUACGUGCCAGCAGCCGCGGUAAUACGUAGGGUGCAAGCGUUAAUCGGAAUUACUGGGCGUAAAGCGUGCGCAGGCGGUUUUGUAAGUCUGAUGUGAAAUCCCCGGGCUCAACCUGGGAAUUGCAUUGGAGACUGCAAGGCUAGAAUCUGGCAGAGGGGGGUAGAAUUCCACGUGUAGCAGUGAAAUGCGUAGAUAUGUGGAGGAACACCGAUGGCGAAGGCAGCCCCCUGGGUCAAGAUUGACGCU